GAAUUCCUAUUAGUUGAGUUGAGUUGAGUUACUUCCAGACCGGUAAGCGAAGUAAAUGUAUUUCAUCCGCAUAAAAAAAUUUUUUAUAUUGCGUCAUUUUGUAUUACGAUUAUAUCUCAAAUUAUAACAAUUUUUGUUUUGGUCCAUUUGCAUAUCACGUCUAAAUACAAAAAUAAAAGAAGAAAAGAUUUAGUUAAUCCAUUAACAAGCAAAUCUCAAUAGGUUUUGUGACAAAUGUCUAUUAUAGAUAAAUCUAUAGAUAAAAACAAAUAAUGUCGUUUCAGUGGACAGAUGCUAUGAUAAAAAUACUGUUAGCAGAAAUGCAUACACACGCAGAAUCUUUUACUACCCCAUUGAAUAAAUAAGUCUGGAAAAAUAUUGCAUCUAUCAACAGUUAUGGAUAUAAUUUGACUGCAGAUAAUUGUUAUAUAAAAUGGAUUGGUAUGAAGAAAAAAUAUAAAACAAUUAAAGACAUGAAAAAUCGAACUGGUGCAGCAAAACUUGGGAAUAUUUCGAUAUUAUUGAUGACGUGUUGGAAAAAAAUUACUGCAAUUGCAUCGUUGUUCAUUACAUCAAAUAUACUUGAUUUUAUAAUAAAUAAACAUAUUUGCAAUUCAUCUGAUGAGAAAAUGAAAAGAAAAUGAAUUAAAUGUCGAAUCAACCAAUAUUUUGAAGAACAGAAAUAUAAGAAGAAGAAAAUCGAAAACAAGAGUCUGAAUGAAAGCAUUAAUAGAACAAAAAGAAAGACAUUAUCAAGAAAAGUGUGCGCAAAAA